rnacentral:rRNA from 1 species
AGAGUUUGAUCCUGGCUCAGAGUGAACGCUGGCGGUAGGCCUAACACAUGCAAGUCGAACGGCAGCACAGGAGAGCUUGCUCUCUGGGUGGCGAGUGGCGGACGGGUGAGGAAUACAUCGGAAUCUACUUUUUCGUGGGGGAUAACGUAGGGAAACUUACGCUAAUACCGCAUACGACCUACGGGUGAAAGCAGGGGAUCUUCGGACCUUGCGCGAUUGAAUGAGCCGAUGUCGGAUUAGCUAGUUGGCGGGGUAAAGGCCCACCAAGGCGACGAUCCGUAGCUGGUCUGAGAGGAUGAUCAGCCACACUGGAACUGAGACACGGUCCAGACUCCUACGGGAGGCAGCAGUGGGGAAUAUUGGACAAUGGGCGCAAGCCUGAUCCAGCCAUACCGCGUGGGUGAAGAAGGCCUUCGGGUUGUAAAGCCCUUUUGUUGGGAAAGAAAUCCAGCUGGCUAAUACCCGGUUGGGAUGACGGUACCCAAAGAAUAAGCACCGGCUAACUUCGUGCCAGCAGCCGCGGUAAUACGAAGGGUGCAAGCGUUACUCGGAAUUACUGGGCGUAAAGCGUGCGUAGGUGGUCGUUUAAGUCCGUUGUGAAAGCCCUGGGCUCAACCUGGGAACUGCAGUGGAUACUGGGCGACUAGAGUGUGGUAGAGGGUAGCGGAAUUCCUGGUGUAGCAGUGAAAUGCGUAGAGAUCAGGAGGAACAUCCAUGGCGAAGGCAGCUACCUGGACCAACACUGACACUGAGGCACGAAAGCGUGGGGAGCAAACAGGAUUAGAUACCCCGGUAGUCCAA